ACGGAAGGCAGCAGCUAAGAAUAUUCCGCAAUGGGGGAAACCCUGACGGAGCGACGCCGCGUGGAUGAUGAAGGCCGGAAGGUUGUAAAAUCCUUUUAUUACCGAGGAAUAAGCAUUUCAGGGAAUGGGAGUGCGGUGACUGUAGGUAAUGAAUAAGCAACGGCUAAUUACGUGCCAGCAGCCGCGGUAACACGUAAGUUGCGAGCGUUGCUCGGAAUUAUUGGGCGGAAAGGGCAUGUAGGCGGCCGCUCAAGUCUGGAGUGGAAUGCACGGGCUCAACCCGUGAACUGCUUUGGAAACUGGGGGGGCUAGAGUCGCCGAGGCGGAGCCGGAAUUCCAGGUGUAGGGGUGAAAUCUGUAGAUAUCUGGAAGAACACCGAUGGCGAAGGCAGGCUUCGAGCGGACGACUGACGCUGAGGUGCGAAGGUGCGGGGAGCAAACAGGAUUAGAUACCCUGGUA
rnacentral:rRNA from 1 species